GGCCUCUUGUUUGUAUAUGAGGUCUGACCUGCCCGGUGAAAUUAUUUUAACGGCCGCAGUAUUUUGACUGUGCAAAGGUAGCAUAAUCAUUAGUCUUUUAAUAGGGGGCUGGAAUGAAGGGUUUGACGAGGUGUUAACUGUCUCAUUAAAUUUGUUAUUAAAAUUUAACUUUUCAGUUAAAAGGCUGAAAUUUUAUUGGAAGACGAGAAGACCCUAUAGAGCUUUAUAAUUGAAUAUUUAAUUAUUAUUUGUUUAUUAUUUUUUAUUAUUUAUUUAAUUAUUUUGUUGGGGUGACAAAAAUAUAUAAUUAACUUUUUUAUUUGAUUAACAUUGAUUAAUGAAUAUUAGAUCCAAUCUUAUUGAUUGUUAGAUUAAGUUACCUUAGGGAUAACAGCGUAAUCUUCCUUCAGAGUUCAUAUUUACGGGAAGGCUUGCGACCUCGAUGUUGGAUUAAGACAAUAGUUAGGUGUAGCCGCUUAAUGUAUAGGUCUGUUCGACCUUUAAAUUCUU
rnacentral:rRNA from 1 species